UACGGAAUGUGCAAACGUUAUUCGGAAUCACUGGGCUUAAAGAGUCCGUAGGCGGCAUGUUAGGUGAGGUGUGAAAUCCCCCGGCUCAACCGAGGAAUUGCGCUUCAAACCGGCGUGCUUGAGGAAGAUAGAGGUGGGCGGAACUGAUGGUGGAGCGGUGAAAUGCGUAGAGAUCGGGAGGAACAUCAGUUGCGAAGGCGGCUCUCUGGACCAGUACUGACGCUGAGGCACGAAAGCGUGGGGAGCAAACAGG
rnacentral:rRNA from 1 species